AUUUUAUUUCUCAACCUUAUAGUGAAAAGCCCUUGGCUUUACUCACUCGCUCGAUUUCCCGCUCCAAGAAGCUCACUCAUUCUUGUAAAUCCUAAACCUAAACCUUCUUCCUAAAUCCAAUUCCCAGUUUCUAAUCUCUGCAACUCUAAACAUAUGCAGUUAGGGGUUUUGGGGCUAUCCUAUUCCUUAUACUUUGGGUCUACAUGCUUUGCUGCUUGUAGACACAAAGACUUGCAAAAUAUGGCCGCCUUUAGUACUAUCUCGCUGUGCCCGUAUAGCCUUUGGCGCCGCCCGAGCCCGAGGAAGUAUUCCAUUUCGUGCUCUGACGGUUCUCCUACAUCAAUAGGCAGUCAUGGUUCCAAAGCACCACGUAAAAGAUCAGGAAGAUUGGAAGGGGCUGGGAAAAGUAUGGAGGAUUCUGUUCAACGUAAGAUGGAACAAUUUUAUGAAGGGUCUAAUGGCCCACCAAUCCGUAUUGUUCCUAUUGGUGGCCUAGGUGAGAUUGGGAUGAAUUGCAUGCUUGUUGGGAAUCACGAUCGCUACAUACUAAUUGAUGCUGGUGUUAUGUUUCCUGACUAUGAUGAGCUUGGAGUCCAAAAAAAUUAUACCUGAUACGACAUUUAUAAAAAGAUGGAGCCACAAAAUUGAAGCUGUUGUUAUAACUCAUGGACACGAAGAUCACAUUGGUGCGUUGCCUUGGGUUAUCCCAGCUCUGGAUUCCCGUACUCCAAUAUAUGCAUCAUCUUUUACAAUGGAGUUGAUCAAAAAGCGUUUGAAGGAGAAUGGGAUUUUUGUUUAUUCUAGACUUAAGGUGUUUAGAACAAGGAAGAAAUUCAUAGCUGGGCCUUUUGAAGUAGAGCCAAUCAGGGUGACUCAUUCUAUUCCUGAUUGUUGUGGACUGGUACUUCGCUGUGAUGAUGGUACAAUUCUUCAUACUGGGGACUGGAAGAUUGAUGAAUCACCAUUGGAUGGGAAAGUUUUUGAUCGUGAAGCAUUAGAGGAACUUUCAAAAGAAGGAGUAACACUGAUGAUGAGUGACUCAACAAAUGUACUGUCACCUGGAAGGACAAUUAGCGAAAGUGUGGUGGCAGAUGCACUGACGAGACGUAUUUCAGCUGCUAAAGGAAGGGUCAUUACUACUCAAUUUGCAUCAAAUAUACACCGCCUUGGAAGUGUGAAAGCUGCUGCUGAUUUGACUGGUAGAAAAUUGGCGUUUGUCGGCAUGUCCUUAAGGACUUAUUUGGAUGCAGCAUGGAAGGAUGGAAAGGCACCAAUUGAUCCAUCCACUCUGGUUAAAGUCGAAGAUAUUGAUGCCUAUGCUCCAAAGGAUCUGCUGAUUGUCACAACUGGAUCUCAAGCAGAGCCACGUGCUGCGUUGAAUCUUGCAUCAUAUGGCAGCAGUCAUUCCUUCAAACUGAGCAAGGAUGAUGUAAUUCUGUAUUCAGCUAAGGUCAUCCCUGGCAAUGAAUCUAGGGUGAUGAAAAUGCUGAACCGUAUAUCAGAGAUUGGGUCAACUAUAGUAAUGGGUAAGAAUGAACUGUUGCACACAUCUGGCCAUGGAUAUCGUGGAGAACUGGAGGAGAUACUUAGAAUUGUGAAGCCGCAACAUUUUCUUCCCAUACAUGGAGAACUCUUGUUCUUGAAAGAGCAUGAAUCGCUUGGGAAAUCAACUGGCAUUCGACAUACUACAGUUAUUAAAAAUGGAGAGAUGCUUGGGGUUUCCCACUUAAGGAACAGAAGAGUUAUAUCUAAUGGUUUUAUUUCCCUUGGGAAAGAAAACUUGCAGUUGAUGUAUAGUGAUGGAGAUAAAGCAUUUGGCACAUCCACCGAACUUUGCAUCGAUGAGAGACUAAGAAUUGCAACAGACGGCAUUAUAGUGGUCAGCAUGGAAAUUUUACGGCCACAAAAUGCAGAGAGUCUCAUUGAAAAUACCAUAAAAGGAAAAAUAAGAAUCACGACACGCUGCUUGUGGCUGGAUAAAGGGAAGCUUUUAGAUGCUCUCCAUAAAGCUGCCCAUGCUGCACUUUCGAGCUGUCCUGUGAAUUGCCCUUUAUCUCACAUGGAAAAGACGGUAUCUGAGGUUUUGAGGAAGAUGGUAAGGAAGUAUAGUGGUAAAAGGCCUGAAGUCAUUGCCAUUGCCAUGGAAAACCCAGAUGGAGUUCUCUCUGAUGAGAUCAAAACAAGGCUAUCUGGUAGCUCUCAUGUUGGUGUUGGGAUAUCAGCAUUGAAAAAAGUGGUUGAUGGAUAUCCAAAAAGAAAUCGCUCAAACAAGAUGCAAGCAGAAAGCAAUGGCUAUAUGCAUUUAGAUUACACGUCACAACAAAAUAUGGAAGUUGAUGAUAUUGAAGUUGGGAGACUACCACCCAAUGAAGAGACCACUACUACAACUUCCAACUUGGCUGAUGGAGUUCCCUCUGGCUCUGAGGAUGAAGAUGAUUUCUGGAAAUCAUUCAUUUCAUCAUCUUCACCCACUGACGAUUCAGUUCAACAACAUGAACAUGUAAAUGAGCUCAAGGAAGAUGGUAAUAUGAGCAGUGAUGAUGACUCUUUGGCAAUGCAAAGUUCUCGAUCAAAGCCUUCCAAGAAGGUGAAAAGGAACAAAUGGAAAACCGAGGAGGUGAAAAAGCUGAUAAAAAUGCGUGGGGAUUUACAUGAUAGAUUUAAUGUUGUAAAGGGGCGAAUGGCUCUCUGGGAAGAGCUAUCUAAUAACUUGAUAGCUGAAGGAGUUGAUCGAAGUCCUGGGCAAUGCAAAUCUUUGUGGGCAUCCCUAGUUCAGAAAUAUGAGGAAAGCACGAGUGACAACAAAAGCCGGGAAGGAUGGCCCUAUUUUGAAGACAUGGAUAAAAUUUUCUCUGGCUUCGAGGCAACGUCAGCGAAAUGAUGACUCGGGUGACACAAUCAAUCAGCACAUGAAGAGGGUUGCAUCAAGUGUUUGGAAGAGCCUUCAACAGCAUUGCUUGUCCACAGGGAUGACUGGGGUCUGGUACACAAUUGGCGCAGCCACUGCAUAAGGGUUCGUACGUAAACAAGAAAUAUGGCUAAUUUUGAAGCUGUAGGGCCACCACUGAAUUAUUUAAUUAGAUACACAUUCAGUGAUAAACAAGAAAUGAAAUUGGCACAUGUAAAAUGGUCAUCUGAUAUAUGGAUAUCAUUUGAUUAUUGUGACUGGAAUGUUUUGGUGCAGAGGAUGUUAUUUUGUAUGUUCUUUUUUUCUUAUUAUUUGUUGCAUUAAAAAAAUUUUGUUGUGAUGCAGCAAUAAAUGUGGCUGCUGGUCAAAUAGAAUUAAGAAUUUAAGCACCAAGAAUGAUUCUUUCUAAAUUUCUGAUAUAUACUAUGUGAUGUAUAAAUCCAUUUUCUAUGGACUAUUUUACUAUUUCGG
rnacentral:misc_RNA from 1 species